UACCAGCACCCCGAGUGGUCGGGACGUUUAUUGGGCCUAAAGCAUCCGUAGCCGGUUCUACAAGUCUUCCGUUAAAUCCACCUGCUUAACAGAUGGGCUGCGGAAGAUACUAUAGAGCUAGGAGGCGGGAGAGGCAAGCGGUACUCGAUGGGUAGGGGUAAAAUCCGUUGAUCCAUUGAAGACCACCAGUGGCGAAGGCGGCUUGCCAGAACGCGCUCGACGGUGAGGGAUGAAAGCUGGG
rnacentral:rRNA from 1 species